GUCACCUCAUUUACAUAAACUCAGGUGUGGCUGAAAGGGGUUUUUAGUGCUUAUCCAGACAUCUUUAUAGCUUUUAUCACUUCAGAAAUUCCCAGGAUUCGAAGAGCUCUGUGCCAGGAAUAGGGACAAAGACCAAAGUGUCAGGUUGGCUGCUUCUGGGUGAUGAGGCUUUUAAAAUAAACUCUAAAUGCAUCUUCUAUAGAAAUACUUCCUAAAGAAACUUCCACUACCUAUGCCAUUGUGUGUUCCUUACAUAUUUUCCAACCCCACAAAGCAGGCAAGCAAACACAAUCCCCUUUGAAUGCAUACUUCCUACAUAAGAAUUGUGGGAAGAAACAAGACAUUAUGAGGCCAAGUCCAAGAAUAAAUUAUGUCUGGGAAUGAAGAAGGCAUGCUGUCUGGGAUUGAUUUGAUAGCACAAGAGAAAAUUAAAGUGGAAGAGAAGGUUCUCGCCGGAUUUUGAACUCAUCUCUUUGGAGUAUCGGCCUACAAAAUAUUGAUGUGAUUUGGUGAGAUGAUCUCACUUAGGCAAGCUUUCGGGAGGCUUGUCUGCCUGAUAUAACAUGAAAUACAAAUACCUCGUCAACAUGGUCUAAAGUCGUCAAGCAGAAGGCUUAGAAGACCAGAUGACACAAGCUUCCAUCUUAGAGCUUGCGACUAUCAUUGAAGCUACGCUUGCAAUCUCUUUCCCUCUCCCACUGUCCACAGCUAUUUCAGGUGGACCGGAAAUCAGAUAAAAGAUUUUCUGAUAACAGAAAAAUAUAAGUCUAUACUAUGCACUUUCACAUUGAUUUUACUUAAUUGAGCAUUUUAUCAUACACUGCUGUAUUUUCUUUUGCUGUCUUAUUUUAUCAAUAAAACUACAA